rnacentral:rRNA from 1 species
AGUUCGAUUAUGGCUCGAUCAACAAGCGAGGAUGCUGGCGAUGUGGAAGUCGAACGUGGCAUGGACUUUAUUCAGUAUGAGUGGCGAACUGUGAGUGAAUAUCGAACGUGCCUAGUAGCGGGGACACCACUACGAAAGCGGUAGCCAAUACCGCAUACGCCCUUCGGGGGAAAGUGGGGACCUUCGGGCCUCGCAAUCGACAGAGCGGCCGAUAUCGGAUUAGCUAGUUGGUGGGGUAACGGCUCACUAAGGCGACGAUCCGUAGCUGGUUUGAGAGGACGACCAGCCACACUGGGACUGGGAGACACGGCCCAGACUCCUACGGAGGCAGCAGUGGGGAAUUUUGGACAAUGGGGGAAACCCUGAUCCAGCCAUCCUGCGUGCGAUGAAGGCCUUCGGGUUGUAAAGCACUUUUGGCAGGAAAGAAACGGCACGGAUAAUACCCCGUGCAACUGACGGUACCUGCAGAAUAAGCACCGCUGAACUACGCCAGCAGCCGCGGUAAUACGUAGGUGCAAGCGUUAAUCGGAAUUACUGGGUAGCGUGCGCAGGUGGUUCGAAAGAAAGAUGUGAAAUCCCAGAGCUUAACUUUGGAACUGCAUUUUUAACUACCGAGCUAGAGUGUGUCAGAGGAGGUGGAAUUCCGCGUGUAGCAGUGAAAUGCGAGAUAUGCGGAGGAACACCGAUGGCGAAGGCAGCCUCCUGGGAUAACACUGACGCUCAUGCACGAAAGCGUGGGGAGCAAACAGGAUUAGAUACCUGGUAGUCCACGCCCCAAACGUGAUGUCAACUAGCUGUUGGGGCCUCGGGCCUUGGUAGCGCAGCUAACGCGUGAAGUUGACCGCCCGGGGAGUACGGUCGCAAGAUUAAAACUCAAAGGAAUUGACGGGGACCCGCACAAGCGGUGGAUGAUGUGGAUUAAUUCGAUGCAAACGCGAAAACCUUACCUACCCUUGACAUGUCUGGAAUCCUGAAGAGAUUUGGGAGGGUUUCUGCAAGAGAACCGGAACACAGGUGCUGCAUGGCUGUCGUCAGCUCGUGUCGUGAGAUGCUGGGUUAAGUCCUGCAACGAGCGCAACCCUUGUCAUUGCUACGAAAGGGCACUCUAUCGGGACUGCCGGUGACAAAUCAGAGGAAGGUGGGGAUGACGUCAAGUCCUCAUGGCCCUUAUGGGCAGGGCUUCACACGUCAUACAAUGGUCGGGACAGAGGGUCGCCAACCCGCGAGGGGGAGCCAAUCCCAGAAACCCGAUCGUAGUCCGGAUCGCAGUCUGCACCGACUGCGUGAAGUCGGAAUCGCUAGUAAUCGCGGAUCAGCAUGUCAUGGUGAAUACGUUCCCGGGUCUUGUACACACCGCCCGCUGCACCAUGGAGCAUACCAGAAGUAGUUACUCAACCGUAAGAGAGGCGACAAUACGGUAGAUCCAUGAUCAGGUGUCGUAACAAGGUAA